UAUAAUUGUUUACGAGGGAUUUCUGUAUAUGAAAAAAACUUACUGUACCUAUGUUGUAUAUAGUUAUAAAUGAAAAUCCAUUGAAUUUUGCAAGAAAAGAAAUUCAUUUUGACAGAAUUAUUUUUUGCAAUUAUUUUAUACUGUGAUAUUGUGCAUAUAUUUUAUAUAUAUUUGAGAUGAAUAAAAGGUAUUUUUUUCUUUAAAACAUAUGUUAAUAUUUGUAUAUUUAUUUGUGGUGCAACCUUUUACUGGUAUACGGAUAUGCUUGGUGCAGCUUUGGAUGAUGUGUAUCAUGGAAACCCUCGUACCACAAUAAUUACAUUAAGAUUUUAUCAAAAUAAACAAUAGGGUGUUACUAUUUCAAACUCCGCAACCUUGUUCUUGUACAAAUGCCUCUUUUGUUAUUGUUUGAUAAAGACAUUAUAGUUUAAUAAACAUUAAUUUUUUUAAACAUAUUUAAAUAAAAUUGUUAUUAAGAGUAUAUAGGGCUUAUAACAUGUGGCAAAAUAAACAGAAUUAAUUUUAUGUUUCUUUUUAUAUCAGUUAAUAUAUUGAAAUAUAUAUACUGGUAAAACAUUAUGGAAUGGCUGUAUCACAAUGUACCACAAUACAGAUUUUACCAUAUUGCUGCACCCUUAGAAUUUAUUGCAUUUAAAAAUUGUGUGAAUGCCUGUUUGUUUUUUGUUUUUUUGAGGAAAUGGACAUAUGUAACUGCAUUUUAAUAUUGCCAGCGUUCUAUUGGUUAUAACUGGUAAUGCCUGGCACCUGUUACUUUGAACUUUUUUUAUAGUGCAGUGUUUAUUAUGUAUUUUAUUAUGAGGUUAUUUUACAUUGUUGAGUACAAUACUGAGUUUUUUUUUUGUUAAGUACACAUCUGUCAAAUCUAUAUUGGACAAGGAUGUAGCUGAGUCUUAUUUAGACUUGUUGCUGUAUACAAGUCAAAUAUAAUUUGAUGUAUAAUACCUCUUUAUUUCUGAUCACCUAUUUUGGACAGAAAUUUGUUAUUUCUGGUACAAUAAAGAAGAAAGGAUUUGAUCUGGAUUGUUUCAACUUUGAAAAUGAAAACAAAAGACUAGACAGGUUCUAAUAGUGAUUUGAUAUGCAUGUUUGGCAUAGAAAAUAAAAAUGAGGCAAAAUUAAGUACAAUAGUUAUGUGAUAUGGAUUUUUUGGACUCACAAAAUGAAAAAGAGGCUAAAUUGAUAAUAUUGUAUAAAGUAAUAAUUUAUAUUGGGAGAUUACAUUGUGCUGGAAGCUUAUAAGAUGUGAAAUAAUGAUAUUUAUUGGACAAUCAAUCUGGUUAUAUUGUCUAUAUACUAGUUUAUAUUUUUUAUUCAAAUCAAAGGGAGCAGUUGUGCAGUGCUGUUAAUUUGUAAUAAGGAUGUUCGGCAAAUUAUAUAUCUGUGUACAGAUGGUAUUUUGUUGGCAAGUUAUAUGACUGUAUACAGAUGGUGUUUUGUUGCCAAGUUAUAUGGCUGUAUACAGAUGGUAUUUUGUUGCCAAGUUAUAUGACUGUAUACAGAGAAUUUUGUUGCCAAGUUAUAUGGCUGUAUACAGAUGGUAUUUUGUUGCCAAGUUAUAUGACUGUAUACAGAUGAUAUUUUGUUGGCAAGUUAUAUGGCAGUAUACAGAUGGUAUUUUCCUAUAUAAUCAUAACCUAGUAGCCUGGUAAUAAAUGUUUACAUAUAUAACCUGUCCAGAAUCUAGAUAACCUAUUAUAUUAAUAGUCAGUAAUCCAAGUUAAAUGUGUCUUGAAUAGAAAUGACAUAACAUUUAUAUCAGUUAAAUAUUUGGUUGACAAGAAAUGUCAGAAAACUCACAGAAAGCUCAUAAUUAAUUAAUUAAAUUGUGAUCAAAUAUACCCGAGAUACAGGUGUCCAUUACCUUACUUAAUUCCAUAUCUAUCUAUGCAAUCUGUAUAUCAUACAUUUAGACUUUUGUUAUUAUCUUUAGGGGGAAAACCAAAUGUACAUAUUUUGUAAUUCUUUAUACACAUUUAACCAUUAUGUGCUAUUUAUAAAUUACUAUUAGGAAAAAAUAGGGAUUUCCUGGCUUAUCAUGGGGUACAAACAUUCAUUUAUAGAACAUCAAUUUGCACUGUCUAUUCUAAAUAGAGAUAUCAACAUAUUGUGCUUAUUUUCGAUGUAUUUAUGAACUUUUAUGUGAAAGGAGAUCACUUUGUAACCCUGGAUUAGCUUUGAAAAUUCUACAUUUUCUUUCUGUAGUAACACUGUUCUAUUGAGGGGGAAUGGUUAUGCCCUGGGGAGAAAGUAAGGGGUGGGGAAGGGCGUGUGGGGGUUUGAGGCUCUUAAAUUGUUUACAGGGAAUGAUAAUCUGUAAAUACUUGAAGAGGUUACUAACCUAGUAUUGUAUUAACACAAAGUUGUCUAUCACCCUCAUUGCCAUAGACUUAUCUAUCACCAGAAUUCUAUUCAGAUUUUUGCAAACAUAUUGCUUUCAGUGUAACCAUUGUGACCAGUGCAGACCAUGCUUAGAUGGCUCAUACCCUCACCGCUGUGGGUUCGAAUCCCGACAGGGACUUUGGAUUCUUUCAUGUGAGGAAGCUAUCCAGCUAGCUUACGGAACGUCGGUGGUUCUACUUGGGUGCCCAUUCGUGCCUGAAAUAAUGCACGGAAGGGCACCUGAGGUCUUCCUCCACCACUAAAAGCUGGAACGUCACGAUAUGACCAAUACUGUGUCGAUGUGACGUAAAACCCAAUUAAAACAAAAAAAAGAUGGCUUAUAUGUUCUGUCUGAUUAUGGUCUGCACUGUUUGCUAUUCAAUUAUGUCAUACUUAUUUUGAAUUUUUCCCUUAAUAUGAGGGAAUGUAUGACAUAUAUUAAUUUUUUCUGUAAUAAAAGCUUAUUUGACAAAAAAUAAUUAAAUAUUUGUUCAUAGAUGUUACAUUCCAUGUUGUUUUUGUUUUGAGUGUUUAGAAUCUCAAUAUGUUAUGCACAUUAUUGUUUGGAUUUAGAGAUAGUUUUGUUUGAAAUUUCCUUGCUGGAAAAAAUCAGCAUUUAAAAUCAUAAUGUAUCUUUUUAUCAUUUAAAUCAUAUAAAUUUUAUUGCAUUUAAAAAGGUAAUAGUUUUGUUCAUUUGAGAAAGAUUUUCAAUUACAAGAGCAGUAACCAUUUCAUUGAACAGAAUAUUUAAGGUGCAUUCAGAGAAUGUGUAUGUGGUGUUCCAUACGUUUUACAGCAAACUAGUGUAUAUGGAAGGCCACUGGUGUCACUUUUCAUUUGUUUAAAUCUAAUUUGUGUUAAUGAUAGAAUUGUUUUUGUCUGUUUGAUGAAAUAUUUAUGAGGGCAUUUAUAUCCUAUAGAAACAGCUAGUUAAUUACUAUUAUGACAGAAUGUUGGUGGGUCUACUCAGCUGUCUGUAUGUGUCCGAAAUAAUGUACAGAAGGGCACCUGAGAUCUUCCUACACCAGUAAAGCAGGAAAGUCGCCAUAUGAACUAUACUGUGUUGGUGUGAUGUAAAAACCUAACCAAGAAAAAAAUACUGUUAUGAACUAGCUUAUCUCCCCUGUUGAUGAGAU